GGGAACAGAGGACGAGGAGGAGGAGAAGGAGAAGGUGGUCGUGCGGAAGAAGAGUGGUGGGUUGUGAUGGAUGGGGGAGCAUCUAUCUAUGGCUGCCUAUAAUUGCAUUUGACCAUCUCUGCAUCUCUGUCCCUCGACAAGGUCGUGAGGGGUUCUUUGCCCACUGCCUUGAGGGAUGUGGUGGUUUCCAGUUGUCACUUGGAAGUGUGGUCUUAUGCUAGAGAGGACAGGCAUAUACAGCCUUAAGAUACUGUUGCCUGCGUUUGCAUCAUCGACUCAUCUCAGUCUUUGUUUUGCAAGCUCUCCAAAGGAGAGACAGUUUUAGUACCGAUUUAAUGCAGCAGCCAAAGAGUCGGGUGGCUUCCUGAUUCAAGGACAAAUGACAUGAGAUGCAGCUACUCAUACAGUGAACCAAAGAAUCAUUUACCUCUACGAUAUUUUUUUUGUAGAUUUAUUCGAAAAAAUGGCACUAAUUUAAAGUCCUUUUUUGGGUUUAAAUUCCAAUGAACAUAUAUAUAUAUACCUCUGUUACCACCUGCCAGAGUUCUUAGAGAUCCUUUUUGGAUUGCUCACUCCCAACUUGUAUAACAAAUGUUUUGGAGUAUAGUUGUAUCAAUGCCUCGGUGCACUUCCACGUUCUCUCCCAGGAAAAACACAUUGUUCUUCUGCUUUGAAAACUUUGUACAUCGGUUGAACACCAAGAAGCGUCGUUCAGACGCAAGAUGCUAAACAAUUGAACACAGGAACAGACAUCCGUUCUGUCGUUUCUGUGAAUGGUGAAGGAAAGAGAUCGAGAUGAUUCAAGUAGAACAGUAGAACUAGUACCAAAACCUUGCCUGCUGCUAACUCAUCCACCAGUACCAAAAGAAACCAAGAAUUGAACUCCACCAUGCAAGCUUAUGGCCGAUUCCUUGCCAUCCUUGCAAUCGGUCCUGAAGCCAAUGAUCUCCAGUAUAACCUCCCCACAGAGUUAUUCUUUAGGGUGAGCAUAUCCUUGAUUUCGAAGACCCUGCUCCUGGAACUUUUAUCUCUUGACAGCUUUUUCGUGUCAGCAGCAUCCUCCCCCGGAGAGAUUGAUGUACUGGUGAUGGUUUCUGUAGUCUCACUGUUAGACGUCUUAAUGAUCUGAUCAAGCAUCUCGACCACCUCGCUCAUUCUAGGACGUGACUUUGGUUGCUUCUUUAGGCAUCUGUUUGCCAAAGCCACUAGAUUCUGAGCAGAUUCUAAGCAAUACUUCCCUUCGAGUCGUGAAUCCAUAAUAGUGUGGAGCUUUUUGGGGUCCGUUGCAAAAGGUUUUACCCACUCCAAGAGCUUUUGUUCACUUCUUGGUAGGUUCCUAUCUAAGGACCGCCUUCCUGUUACAAGUUCAUAAAGAACCACACCGAAACUCCAUACAUCGCUUUUAGCAGUUAAUUUUCCGGUGUGGAUGUACUCUGGAGCAGCAUAGCCAACGGUGCCAACUACCUGCCAAGAAAGCAACAGAAAUAGGCUACUUAACAUGGUAUGCAUAAUGGAUAAAUUCUGAAAAUUUGUAGCCUAAAGAAGAAUAUUAAACUUUUAGAUGCUGGCAGCAAUUCACAAACAUAAGAUCUUUUAACAGUUGAAAAAGGAAUGUAAAUAAGCCUUGUCGAUGGCUUGUUAAAAGUUCAUGUGAGCUUCAAAAAAUAAAUACAUAGCAAAUUGACUAAAAUCCACUCCAUAAUAGUUAGGGAUAAUCAAAUGUUCAACAAAUCGAUUUUAUGGAGUUUGCAGUGGAGAUGCAGUCAAAGUUGAGAUAUUAUCCUGUUCGUUCAGUUUCUUCAUUAAAAGUACUUGUUCAGUAAGUGAUACAUAUAGACAAGUAUAGAUAAUGUUCAAGCUUAAGCAACAUUGAAGAUCCGGUCAUGCAUUAUAUGACAAAAGCCAGAUCAUUAUAAUCAAAACUUACUGAUGUCUCAACAUGACCAACUCCUGCUGUUGGGCCAUGCCUAGCAAAACCAAAGUCUGAGAGCUUGGCAUUGAAAUCUUCAUCUAGCAAAAUGUUGGAUGUCUUAAAAUCCCGAAAUAUUAACUGCAUCAAAAGAAUAUAAAAUGAGUACAUAAAAUGGAAAGUGAAAAGAACAAAAUUUUCAAACAUCUACCAAGUAACUUGCAGCACACGUAUACACACAAAGAUAGAGAAGCUGUUACUCUAUUCUAUGGUAAAAACAUGUACAUAAUGAAAGAUGCCAGAUGCCAAACUAAGGAAGAAAAAGAGGAAUCCCUAGCUAAUAUUAUAUAGUACAAGAAGAGAACUGGAAAUAUCCAUCACACCAUGAUCUCGACUGCUGCUAUGGAAACUUAAAACACAGGAAGCAUUAAUGAUACAGUAUAACAUAAAUUGUGAUAUAGGAAGAACAUCAAAGAUUUACUUAGAAACUCAGUUUCACAUGAGACCGGUGGCUUUACCAAAUAGAAUAGGUAUUCGAGUAUGAUUAGGAUUAGGAUUGAUUGGAAGUCCAGAACACCUUAACCUUCAUAUAUGGGACAUGAAAUUUAAAGUAGAAUUGUCAUAUAAUGAAAGCUGAUAAUUGAUGCACGGGAUCUAAAGCACAGGUGUUUAAGGGUUAUAGUGGAGGUAAUAGUCAAAAUUGCGGUAAAAAUUCAAUUUUGAGGCCUUUAGAAAUUAAAAUCAGCAGGCUAACUCAGGAAUUGCAUUGGCAAGCUGAUGAUAAGGGUAAAACUUGUCAGAUCUUAUGGGUAUGGAUUCAUACCUAUUUUGUUGAGAUACAAUAGCUUGUUGUCGUAGCUAAAUUGGGGAAUUAUUUGUUUUACUGUUCAGUUCAGUACUGUAGAGAAUUAUUAAAUAAAUUGAAUAUGGCCUUUCAUCACUCAAACACCCAAUGCAGAACCAACAUUCUGUCCAUCUAUACAUGAGGAAUAAAAAGAGAAACCAAGGCCUUAUAGAGUGGUCACAUAAUCGAAUGACCUGUGACGGUUUGAAAUCAAUGACCUUUUAAGGCAUAGUAACCUAUGAAUGAAAUAAAAAGUUGCACAAAUCAUAAAUAUCUAGUAAUAAACAAUUAAAUGGUCAUCUAGCUUUCAGAAUAAGUCGGCAUCUAAAUUCAGGAAUGUGAAGAAUUAAGCAAGCAUCUGAAUAUUAGGUAAUCCAUUUGCUAGGAAUAAAGCAAUAUGCCACCUGUGCCAAUAUUAUGAGACCUUUUUUUUAUAAAGAUCAUGCUGCUAAGUACAAAUACAUGCUAUAGCCUACUGCAUGUGCCACUACACAUUCAAUAUUCAAUGGCAUUUGCCUACCUUGUUUCUAUAUAUGCCUUGGUACCAUUGGCAAGGAAUGAAACAACUCCAAUAUCUUGCCACUAGCUGAGUGAGAGGCAAAGGUAACAACACUAUAUAAUCUUUGUUUUUAACAUGAUAAUGAACGACAACCUUCCGUUCUUGAUAAUUUCUUCUGCAAAUUAAGCCUGUUGGACCAAGUAACAAGUCACAACAAGCCGCAAAUAAGAGCUCAUCUACACAACCACAGUAGGCUUAAAAAAAAAAGGCUAGUGGUUUAAAAAAGAUGAAUAUCAUUCCCUAUUGUUGGGAGCAUCAGAAAAAAUAAUGAAUAAAACCCUAUUAUCAGCUUAAGUUUGUAGAUGACUUGACAGUGAUGAAAACUUAAGAUCAGAGAGGGAGGUACUGAGAGUCUUUAUUCUAUGUAAUUUUCAUCACAAUUUAAUUCAAGUGACACAUGUUAGUCUCAAGCCAUUCCAGCAGCCCACAGUGACCGUGAGUCUUGGAAAGCUAAAAUGUAAAUUAAUAAAACAAUGUGUUAUCCGUUGCCUUAAAAUGUUAGAUGACUUGGCCAUGGUUUGACAUUUCAAGUACCGGAGCUAAAAAAAGAUGUGUUAUCUGCUGGCGUAAAAUUUUAGAUGAUUGAUACAUCGUAUGGCUUCAAAUUUUGCCAGGUCUGCACUGGUCAAGCUGGAUCAGUACAGAUCUGAUACACGCCAGUGUGCCAACACAGUCAAUACAUAAUCUGAAACAUAUACACAGUGUUGGGAGGCACAUGUCAUGGUCUGUGUUGUUGACCUGACAGUCCAUCGGAUUGACAUGUUCCACCAAGAACACACUGAUUAGAGUGAAACGCAUAACCAUGGACUUGAAAAUAGUGAGACUUUGUGUUUUAUUAGUAAAUCUAAUUUUAUUUAAAAUUCAAUAAAAUUAAUGGAUUAUUUAAAUUAGAAAAAGAAGAAAGUGUUAAAACCAGGAAAACCGUGAAGCCAAACAUUUCUAUACGACAACAACAAAACCGUAAGUCCCAACUAUUUGGGCAAAACAGUAAUUUCUCUGUAGAUUAAUUAAGAAUAUAAAAUGUUGAUUUCAAGACUUAUCACUACCUAAUUCCUCAUGAACAUGUAACAAGUUUCUUCUUGAACAUCUGAAUCAUGAAGCAAAUCACUAUAUUCUCCACAGACUGAUUAAGAAUAUAUAGUGUUGGUUUCAAAACUUAUCAUGAUUUUGUAACAAAUCUCUCCUGAAUAAAUAACUAAAUUUCUUCCUAAAUAUCUGAAUUAUCAUUUCGUGACAUACAAUAUGUUGAGCAGACCAAUUUAAGACUGCUGAGGUAGAUUUCUAGUUAAAAAAUAUAGAAACAAUGUUAAAAUAAUGGAAAGUGACUCAAAAUAUGAAUGUUAAAAUAAUGGGAUCAUGUUGCUGCUCACCGCAGGCUAGAUGCAGCCACUAAAUUGUUAUUUGAUGGAACAAUUAGAAGUAUGAAGGUUGAACAAUUUAUGAAGGAUACACUGGAAUCAUUUGUGAUCAAAGCCCAUGUUUAGAAAACAGAUACUAAUAGUAGGAACAGAAAAAUUGUUCCGUAAAAGAAUUAGAAAAUGCCAUUCUAGUGUAAUUCCUACGGCAUUUGGUUAAUAGUUGAACAAGAUAGCGAUAUCAGCAAAAAAGCAAAAAAUAAAUAUUGCAGUUCUAAAAAAUCCAAUUGUAGGAGAGAUAAAAACAGGAAAUAACUGAAGGAAAAGGCUGUUCCAGCCAUUUGCAUGGAUUGUCAUACUCCUCAUUACAGUUCCAUGUGGUUGUACCCAUAAGAAUCAUGAAAGUGAAUAGGAUUUGGUUGUUCUUUUGGAGAACACUUAAAAAGUUUCUUGCAUGAUAAGGAGCAUGUGUCUUUUAGGACAUUCUCCCUCCUGCCUGAAUUAAUUGGGUUUUUUUAUAUAAUUAUUUUAAAAAUAUUUUACAUUCCUCACUAGUGCUUUACGAAACCUUUUCAAAACAAUAAUUCCAACACAAAAGACAAGAUAUAUUUUUUUUCUGGUGUAUGAUAUUAUAAAACAUUAAUAUGAGCUGAAGCACUGAACAACCUCGACAAGUUCCCUUAGCCAACCAACUGCUGGUGACUUUGCUAAGAUCAUUCAAUAUAUAUGGGACCUUAUCCUUAUGUAGCUUGACACACUUUCUCCAGGUGAGAUUCGAUGCAAAUUAGUUGUUCAUACAUCUCCCUUGGUGAAUUUGCAUGUGUACAAAUCAGUCAUUUGGGUCUUUUUCUUUGUUUUACAAAAAUAUUGAGAUAAGUUGGAAAGAAAUAAAGACAAAUGAAGUCUAGAUAAUUUAUCAUCCUUGAUCUUUUGAACUGUACCAACUUUUAAAUCUAAAUCAUCUUAAUAUCAGCAUGUAUACAUGUUGUUAAUAUCAUUAUGAAAGCUUCCAAUAGUUUAGGUAUUUAUCAAAGGAUAUAAGUAUGUCAAAGAAGUAGAAGCCACACCAAUACUAAAAUCAAGUCGACGUUUUAUUACCUUUAUCAGCUGCUCGAUUAAUUGGUUCAAACUUACAGGAACUAGCUUUGAUAUUUUUAAGUCCAUCAAUCAAAUGAAUUGAUGUUUGUAAGUGACCUUCAACUUCAUGUUAUGGCAUCUAUGAAUGAGUUGCCAACUAUUCAAACUCUAAUCGCAUAUAACCAAGGAGUCCAAUAGAUGACUACCUGAAAAUCCAUUUCUUCGUGGAGGUAUGCUAAACCACGUGCAGCAUCUAGUGCAAUCUUUAACCUUAGAGACCAUGAGAGAGCUGAUGAAACUCGAGAUAAUAAGUGAUCCUCCAAGCUUUUAUUGCGCAUCAAUUCAUAAACAAGAAGCCUUUGAAUCCCCCUCUCAUCAUCUUCAGCACAAUAACCCACCAACUUGACAAGAUUUGGAUGCUUCACUACACCAAGAAAAUUGACUUCAGUAACCCAUUCCUUGUGCCCCUGCAGAAAAAACAAAGUAACUCAAUAAAUUCUCAACCAAAAUUGGGCAAAAUCGUGCAAAUUAUGUUUUUUUCAACAUCAAGUCUAACAAAUCAAAAUAACAAGGGUUUCUGGUACAAUUAGGACAACCACUCAGCUAUAAAUGCAACAAGCAAGCAUCGCUAUUGCAUAAAAUGGUAACAUCCAGGGGUUGCACAUGCCAGCUAUGCCCCCCGAACCCAUGCAGCAUAUACUGUAUCAACAAGGGGACAAAUAUAGCAUUGGACUUGCAUAUGGCUUGUCUUGGUCGGCAUGGCCGCUGUGCCUACCAUUGAAGACUGGGACCUAUAGCUUAGUUAUGCUCGUGACAAUUCGAAACUAAUGUUUCCACAUUGGCAGAUAAGCCAGGAGGAUCAUCAAAGGUUAGUCGCAGUGGAUAGACAAUAGCCAGACCCAAAGGUUGUGACAGAUCAAUCGUGUUCACGGUGUAAUCACAUGAAAAGAACAGGACUUGAAUCUGAAUGCCUUCCACAAAAGACAGGAAAGUACCUAGAAAGAUGGGACAACUUGGAUCGCUCUAGCUCGGUUUAUAAUGCGAAAUCAAGAUCACACCAACGGAAUCAAAAACGUCGAAUCAAAGAUGUUACAUGCAGACAAUUUAAGGGAUAUCGGUACAUGAUCAGGACCUACAUCAUGUUUUCUUCGAACAUAAAAGCAACAUCCGAAUAAGAUUCACAAAGGAGAUCAAUAAAUGCAACUCGCUCCGAGCAUUAAUGCACACCCAACUAUAUCACGAGUCCAUCAGCAGCAACGAAAACGAAGAAACGAGGGAAACUCUUGCCUGCAACCCGUGCCGGUUCAACUGCUUUACAGCGACGUCCAUCGUCUCGGCGGCGCCGUCGUCGCCUGCGACCGUGACGACACCCCUGUAGACGCACCCGAACCCGCCCUCGCCGAUCAGGAGGGAUCGGCCGAACCCCCUGGUGGCGGCCUUCAGCUCCGAGAACGCGAACGCGCGGAGGCCCUCGGGCGGCCCGGCGGUCGCCGGGCAUGGGAGGUCCCAGCCGGGGUCGAGCUCGGCCCGCCGUGGCUCGAGUCCGAGCGAGGAGGAGGUGGACGCGAUGCUGAGGGAGCGUGCCCAGGAGAGGCGGGAGACCCUGGAUCCGGCGUCAUCGAAGGUGCCGCCGGCGUCGCCGCUGGAGAAAUGGAAGCACUUCAUGGCCGGGGAGAAACCCUAGAGCAGGCGAAGGCAUGAAGAGAAGCCACGGAGAGAGAGAGAGAGAGAGAGAGAGAGAAGAGGAGGUGAAGAAGAAGGUCAAUAUAUUAAUGGAAGAAGGUGGGGUGGGGAGCGUCGCGAGAGUGGAGGUUGGGGAGGACCAACUCCCAUCUGAGAGCUCCGUUCCGGGCGCGGGUGGGAACACGACAUAUCAGCACCUGCCGAGGGCUUUUCGGUAAGAAGUGACGGGCAGCGAAGUGAGAUUUGGGGGUUAAUCAAGUCGUCGCACCGCAGAUCUCUCCCAUCAGCAGAAAAGAGCAUUUCAACGAACGGCUUAUCGGCGCAAGAAUCGGGUGGCCCGAGGAUCCUACGUUUGCCACGGGACAGCGCACAGCGCACAGCGCACAGCGCCCCGUCCCAGGAGACGUAUUCGAAGCACCGCCAAUGGUCAACAACUCGUAGCAGCCUUCUCGGUGGCUGGUCAAAGCGAGCGCUCAGCGCCGACGACCACGAAGUCCCCCGUCCCGACCUCCUCAUCGUGCCAAUCUACACAAAUAAUUCCUUUCUAUGUCUGAUUCCAAGUAUGAUUAUUAUGGUCAUGAAUCAGAAGAUGUGCAUAAAUCAGCUUCUUUUGCGUGGCCAGAGGAACAUGGAAUGAUAGAGAGGAGAGAGAGGAGGAUAACGAGAGAUUACUUGUAGCAUGCUAUUUUUAUCUACUUGGAGGACUCGAUGGAUGCCUAUCUCCGUCAACUUUGAUUGUGUCAACGUGAUUUAAGAUUUUGGUGUUCCUUUCACGCAAUUCCUUUUGGUACUUGUGACCAUAAUUUGCCGAAAGCAGUCGCAGGUUGUGUCCUGAGUUGCCUCUCUGGACUACUCACUAAGGAUUUGUCUUCGGGUGGAAACUUAUUCUGCAACCGCUGCUAAUACUUUAUCGUCGGAGACUUGUUCUCGAGAUGGUAAUACUUUCCCAUUUAUCGUUUGUCCGGCUCUCCUGCCUGCCUUCCUUCCAAUUGGAGGUGAUGUGAGACCACUUUGAUAUAUGAAUAAUUUAUAUAAAAAUUUAAACUAUUCAACGUACAUAUUGAUUCGAAACUUAAAACUUAAAACUUAUCAAAGUUCAACUAAGGAUAGAACUUAAAACUUAAAAGAAUUGAAUAUAUAUAUAUAUAUAUAUAUAUAUAUAUAUAUAUAUAUAUAUAAAGAAAGAAAGAAAAGAAGAAAACCUUAUAAGUACUAAAACGUUACUAUCCCAAUUGGUCACCACUUGGCAGAGCCGCAUUAGACUUCCUUGUCUCGAAUGAGUGGUGGUCAACAAUGGGUGCAUAAUCUUUCUUCCUCCCCGGUUUGGUGAGCAAAAUAUUCGUCUCACUAGCUAAAGAAGUCGUAUUGGCCAUGCUUUCAAGGGAAGCAAUAAAUAGUCUGGUUAAGUUUGAUCCAUCGGUUGUAACUUAAAAUAUUAUGAUUUGAUCUGGUCUCCAUGAAUGGGUGCACCAAGUGGCUGGAUCGAAUUCAAUCAAUCACUAUCUCUGAUUCAUCUAUUUAUUAGAAAGCAUUGAUCAUAUGAAUAAUAGGCAAAAUGGCAUACAGCCCAGUAUUAAAUAUUCACUUGUAUCCCUAAAGAACCAAUUCGAAUAGAUUACUGCUUCUUUUAUUGAUAUGUUGAUAUGUAUCUUAUUUCAUUGGCAGCUGCUCUCAGCUCUCUCAUUCUGAAGAAACAUGUUGCAUUGACUUACAGGGGGAAGAACUCAGAGAGGUGGCGGCGAUGUCGACAGUAGCGACGACAGAGGAGGAAAGGCCAUAAGGUGAAGGGUUUCUAAACACUCUCUAUAUGUACAUGAAUAUAUACGUGCACAUAUGUACACACUUAUAAUACAUACAUCCCUGACAGCCAUUUGAAACAUUUUAUUAUUCAGGUCAAAACAUGCUUGUCUGGCAUUACAAUCCAAUCCGAUUUUGUCCAGAUCUAUCGAUUCAAGGUCACAAAUUGGUCAAUGGGAAGGUUUGGCUAUUACAAAAUUGAGUGGCCAAAUCUAUACUGGAUAUUCACCUACACCAUGUUGACUCCAGGAAGGGUUCAACAAGAGGGAAUGGGAUGGACAGUCUUGAAGAAACACCUCAUCAGUUUUCAGUGUAGGGGUACCCUUUUGUCUCCCUGCUUUACACUUUAACAUGGAUUGCUUCAACCAAACUAAUUUACCUAACAACCAAUCAAUAUGACUGGCUGACGAACUGAGAUGUAAUCCUGCUGAGGAAACCAAAGGCAUGAACUGAACAAUGCAGCAUUUUCACACUUGUAAAUUCAUCAUAUCACUGUAUUAGAUAACAAGCAAAGCAGAGACUCCACUGUGAUGGACAAAUAUAAAGAAGUCGCAUCACAGCUAUCAGACAUAACAGAUAUAUGAGCAACUGCGGGCUACAACAAUUUCCUUCGUUGUGCAGCCACUUCAGCCGCCACUGUUACAAACUAUAACUUUGUAUGCUACUCUAUUCCCACUGCUCGGUAAUCCCACACACCACCUCACAGUCAAAUAAGACUCCAAAAAAGAUGCAGUCAAAGUGACACAGACGCAACAAGCACACUCCUACCACUCAGCCGUCGCCAUUACCUUUUACUUUCACGACUACCGAAGCCACUCAGUACUAAUCCACGGCGCGAAAAACACACAAACACUAGUACUACUGCAACUGCUGCUAAAGAAAGAGUAACGAAGCCUUUGGAUUCCAAUGUCAGACGCGGAAGUUCUUGCCCUCGAAGGUCUGGCCGAACUCCCAGGUGGAGGGGACGAUGUUCCAGGAGGUGGAGGUGCGGCGGUCGCUGCCGGUGACGCGGAAGGAGAGGGACUGGCCGACGAGGACGGCGUUGGACUGCCAGUUCUGGCCCCAGUUGCGGGACAUGGGCAUCCACUCGGUGCGGGACCCUUUCACGCUGGCGCGGACGAGGUCGCCGGCGCCCGCCACGUUGGUGAUCAGCACCAGGUUGAAGUACUGGAACCCGUUGAUCGUGAAGCGGAUCCCACCGGAUUUCCUGCAAGGGACCCUGCGAUCGGACGGCCGCAAACAAAUCAGCAAGCACGUCGGUUCAAAUCGAUACGGUGCAUCACACCACGCUAGCCCCAAUAGGGCUGGACCCCACGCGGUUUCCUUUUGUUUGUUUCCGGCCCUACAGGGAGGCAUAGGAUACCGCGACAACGGAAAUUACGUUCUUUCUUUGGGUUUUUGCCUUUUUAGCUUUGUGUUCUGUGAGUCACACAUAAAGUGGGGAAUCCGGUCAAAUAGGUUUAAAAAAAUGAUAAUAUUUUUAUUUUGCUUCGACAAAACAGAGAACCCCAAAAAAAAAAUAAAGGGCGGGGCAAAACGCGGACCGGAGAACAAGCGGAAGGAAAAUAAUUCACGGGCUGGAAUGGGAAGAUAUCAAUAAUCUGAUUCGAUUCUGCUCCCGGACCAAAGUCAGACCCCUUAAAGGCCAGACAUGACAUGAGCAUAGGUCGAUUUCGGUAUCUCGUUUCUGCACAAGUUCAGCUAAACAAAAAAAUAUUUUUUGGGAGAGAUGUGUGCUUUGUAUCCUGAAAUAUAUUGUCCGGUGUCCUAAACCAGGCGUCGGAGACCGAAGAAUAUUGACGAGAGUGGCACUCUCGUCAAUUCAACAACACUGUGGAACAAUUCUGGAAAGUGAACUUUUGAUAGGGAAAGGAACCGGAAUCUCUACCCAAAACAACACAGCCAAAAGAAGGAUGUCAUUGCAUGGAGAAAAAUAAGUAAAAUAAAGGAAAGAGGAUGAGUGAAUCGCACAAACGACACGAAGUUUAAGCGAUUAUGAGGACAUUGGAAAGCAGUACUGAAGAAGGUGGAAUUGAUGCCACGAGAAGGAUACCAUUUAGGGGAAAGAUGUCGCGGGAUCAAAAUGUCGCAUAGGAGCGUAAAGCCCCUUUACAUUGGAGGCUUCCCAUCCAACGCCCCAUACGCAGCCACAUCGUCGCGUAAUCCAUGCGCGUAAGAUGGACGCGUUCGUAAUUAUUUCACAAAAUAAUGGUUCCAUGUUUAGGGCGUCUUUUAAGGCCAAUUCUAAGAGCACAGAUCGAAACCAGCAUGAAUCUACACGCAUCGUAAAGAUCAAACGAUGAAGAUCCGAGCAGAGGAGCUCUACAAAAAGGAGGAAUACCUUCGGAAGGAGACGGGUACGAUGCCAGCGCGGUACUCGGCGAUCUUGAGGAACAUGGGCAUGGAGAGGUCGAAGUGGGGGCGUGGUGGGUUGCACCACCCGCCGUUGUCGGAGGGGAGAGCGUAGUUGGGCGGGCAGAAGUUGGUAGCAGUGAUGAAGAUGGAGGGGCUCCCGCCGUGGCACCACCGCGGGUCGUCCGCGCACUUGAUCUCGAAGCACGACCCGCAGCUCUGCCCCUCGUUGAACAGCGCCGUGCUCAGCGCCGCCGUCUGCACCCCGUACCCCUGGCUGUACAGAUUCCCGUACCCACACGCCCCUCCUGCAAACCCAGCAUCCGGCACACAAACGUCGUCACUCCCCGCUUCGUUCGAGGCUGGACGCAAGAGAUCGGUGACUAUCAUAGGAAUGUGGCUUACCCAUGGUGCCGGACGCGUCACUGCCGCCGUAGAAGGUGGCGUGGGCGCUCUGCCACUGACCGCCAGUGUAGACGCCGGGAAUGCGCCCAGCCGCCGGCGCCAGGAGGGCCAGGAGUGAGGCGAGGGAGACGAAGGAGGCCAACGCCAUUACUCUGUCGCUUUGCUGCUCUCUAGGGUUUGGAUGAUGAGAUUGAAUAUUGAGCGAAGAGGGGGUAUUUAUGGACUCGAGAGUGACACCACAUAAUGGCAGUGGAAGUAAUUAAGGCCAUUUUGCGGGAGUAAAGGCAAAACGGAGACGGAAGAGAGCAAGGAAGGCGUUUUUGUCAAGGAUGGAGUGGUGGGGAAUAAUAAGUACUUAUUUGUGUGGGGCACGAUCAAACCACCCUACAAUUAUACCAUUGUUCCGCAGCGUGGUCCGUCCGAUGACCAAUCAACGGUUGAGAUUAGCCUAUUGAAGGCCUCGGGUAACGGGAAAUUGUGUGUUGCGGUAAAGUAGGAAACCGGAGGGUUAUUUAUUUAUUUGAGAGAAAAGAAAGGUGGGAUAUGGAUCUACGACAGCCUUCGAUCUGGGCUUUGCUUCCAUCGCAAGUUGUGCCGCCACCGACGGCUGUGAUUCGACGACUUUUUAUCCACGCUUUUGCACCCUUUAACCUCCACGCCGCUCGCACACACCACCGUUUCACUCUUCCGCGCAAAGGAUAGAAUUUAAAUGCGAACGGGGAAUGUUCCUUCCAAUCGAAAUCUGACGAAAGGAGACGCGCCAUUUUGCUUUAGUUUUUGCGUCAGGAAUUGUUUCACGUAGUGAGGGUUUUAUCUUUGUCCCUAUUCCCCCACCUUCUCUCUCUCUCUCUCUCUUCUUUACCACCUCCCUCCAACGGUACCCAACGAGCUACCUAACUGCGUUGCGAUGGGACCGCAGUCCGUUCCGUGGUAAUCGGCCGGACGAAUAGCUCUUCCACAGCACCACUGAGGGACAGAGGUGGCGUAAAUAGCAGACAUGCAGCAUCCUUCUGUCCCAAUACAAAUGUCCUGUACCUGCAGUAUGAUUGGCCGGGACGUUUUGAGCCCGCCGGCCGAGAGAGAGAGACAGGGUAGUCGAGAGAGUAGGAAAACGUUUCCCGACAAAAGAAAGGGAGGGGGCUUGAAGAGGGGAGGGGCGAGGUAGGUACUGGGGGUGGGUAAGCGUGACUCACCGCUGAGGCGUCGCCAUCAGGUGGGACAAGUCAACGUGGCCUGAGCGGAUUGGGAGGGUUGGGGGGUGGGGUCAACAAGGACGGGAGGUUGCGGUGGGAGUAGGGUAGGCGAGGUAGCAUCGGUUUCGACCGCCGCACACGCCGUCGCCAACCCCGCCGCGAACGCUGCAAACGUUCGACGUGCUUCGUAGCAUGGCUAAUCAAACCAUGCAUGCAUGCGCGUGGCUACGCCAUCUUUGUUUGGGAACCGAAUCCAUCAUACGUAAUGAGACUGCUUGACUUCCAUAGUUUACGAUCAUCUGCUACUUUAAUGGUCUGCGAGCAAAAGCGUUAUCGAGAGAGCACGAUUGUGAAAGCAGGUUUGCUUCAUCCAGGAUCUCAGAAAGAUAGUGAAGCUCAUUGCUCAUGGCUUGUGGAUUAAGCAAGCAUACAUGAUUGUGUAAUCUGGCCAUGUCUUUAUGUCUACUUGUAAUGCAAUGUGCUCUUCAGUAUCAGCUGCUCAACAAAUCCAUAGAGUUCACUUGGAAGAGAGAGAGAGAGAGAGAGAGAGAGAGAGAGAGAGAGAGAGAGAGAGAGUAGUNNNNNNNNNNNNNNNNNNNNAGAGAGAGAGAGAGAGAGAGAGAGAGUAGAGGAAUGUUUGGUGGUUUAGCUAGCAUGCUUAUCUUGCUGGUUAGAUUUAUUUUCAGUUUGCAUCAUGUGCUCAGACUCAAUGGCAACUUUUCUUAAAGUUGUUGUCUCCACAUUUUAAUCUUAUCCCCCAACAUUUGACAUUGAAGACUAAGAUUCUAAGAUUUCUCACUCAACAAACUCAGCUCAAUCAAGGAUUUGACUGUGAGAUAUGUUCUUCUUCCUAGAGUUCAGAGCAGGCCUAGUGUUGACCAUGGGUUAAAUCAUAUUAUCAACCUGUCUUCUUCCCUGAUUGCAAGUUAGACACUGGGCUUGCAGAUGAUUUCGCACAGCAUGCAUGAUGAUUUUGUUUGUACUUGAAACAAUUGAGAAUUAGUCAAAAGGAGUGUUGAUCAUGGAAAUGAAAUGAAACGCCCCACUGGAAUGAAUGGACAUCAAGAAGAAGAAGAAGAAGAAAAUAUUUUUAAAACGAUUAUAAUAGAUCGGUAUUACACCUCCGUCACUAACCAUUUUUACAUGAACAAAAUAUUUGGCAUUGUCGAUAUUAUAAUUGGCAUUCAAACCCUUGGAAAAUCGCAACAAAACUGAUCAAUAACUAUAAUGGCUAUUUCUUAUUUGUCAUUAUGUUUGUAUAUUUCUAUAUGUAUGAGCCACAAAGAUUACUCAUUUCUCAUGCAGCUUACCAUAUCCUCUAUGAUACUUGAAGUUUGUAACCAAUAAUACAACUCAUGAACAUCCAAUUGUCAUGUAUCCCGAUUUCAUUCAACGAGAGAACAGGUUGACCACCUUAACAGGUGAGCCCGAUACGUAUUCAAGACUGAGCCAUGUCGUACGGCAUGUGUACAUGGGGGGGCACUCAUCCAAUACUUGCACGUCGGGAUUUCUCCCCGACACACAAAUCUUCGCCAUUUACUUUUCUCUCCAUGUGGAAAGGACACCCAACUUGGAUGGAUGCCUUGAUCACUCGGCUAUCUCCACACUCCACCAAUCUUUCGUGUUCUUCCACAGCAAUAAAUACUUCUCAAUCGGCCAUUAAUAAACUACACAAGAUUGUAAGUAUACGAGGCACAAAAUGAUUGCUACUGCCAUUAGGAUUGCAUGUGACCGGGGGACAAUGUCAUGACGAUUUUGAUUGCUUUGCUUGGGGCUACACCUAAAAGCACUCCUCCUCGUGUGUACCGGCGACCUGAUGCUCACAGUAGAGAGAUCAGAAGAGAGAGGUUACUUUGGUUGACGUGUUGCACCUGUUUGCUAUAUUGCAUGUAGUAGCUUCGGACCACAUGAAACACUCGAUCGAUCAUGGACACUGCUGUCAUCUCCCAAGCUUCAGCACGCUUCGUCGUCCAAGAAAAGGGAAGCUUGAGCACGCUCUUGGUUGGCUUUAUUUACUUGGAAUAAUCGAAUGAUCGUGGCCUAUGGCCUUCUUUGGUGCAAGUGUUUAACGUGUUUGAUGCGGCAAAGCUUGGGCUUCCAAAACUUGGGUCUAAGCCUGACAGUGUUGACGAGUUGCCUCCCUAUGGCGAUUGGGUUGCAGAGCCUACGGCAGCGUAGCCUGUCCUGAAGUCAACAGAGCAAGCAUCAGAGUCCAGGGAGAUGGUGGCCAGAGACUUCGAGGGAGGAAGGGAUGGCUGUGUCUUGACCGAACUCCACAGCCUCCCAGGCCGAUCCCUCGCAGCAGCAAUCCAUGCAUGUUGGCCUGUAGCGUUUGGCAGUAGCAGAGGACAGCAGGUGUGAUGAUCCUCGGAUUCCUUCUCUGUUCCUCCUCGUGUACCUUUUUCAUUUUCUACUGUUUGAUGCUGGUGAUGAAAUCAUUUUUCUAGCACCUCAAAUUAAUUACCACCUCUAUUUUCUGUUGAAGGAUAGCUAACCAAGUGGAGGGCAGAAACAUUACAAGCUUUCAUUUGGAGAAUGGAGGACAGGAAUUGACUCUCACAAAUGAUCCUAAAUAUUCUACAGAAUGUGGCCAAAACAGGACUCCACAUUUGUUUCUAUCUCACCUUGGGCAGAAUAUAAUGUUGUGGUGUUCCUAAUUAGAUUUGAGUACGAAAAGGUGCUGUCAUGUGGUGAAUGUGUUGUGCUGAUCUUGUCUUGCCAACAUGAGACAUCAAUCUGUGGUGUUCUUGUUGGUACUGGCUUUAGGGAACCUAUGAUCCACAAAAGCUGAUUUCAAUGGCCAAGCAAAACCCACCCAGAACAGAUGCCUUUUGCUUGUUUUCUGAAGGAACAAGCUGUCAUACGAAUCCAUAGCUCCAUGCCCAGCAAAAGAACAAGUCAGAUUCAGAUUUUGGUUCUUAAGUCCUCUAGCUCCACAGAUACAACCCUAAAUACCUAAGCAUACGGAUAUGAGAUUAUAAACAUACAUAGUAGGCAAUCAUGCAAAAUAUUCUGCACUCAGCAAGAAAUUGCUUUCGGCUGCAGGUAAAGAGAGACUAUUCAAAGCCCAGAAGAACCCUAUUGGGAACGUUCUGCUUUGGGAUCCAUAUGAAGCUCUCAUAUUCUCCACAAGCUCAAAUUUAUCUUCUCAUGCAGAUUACGCCCCACCAUCUUCCGCACCAUUCUCCCUAUCCCAUGCUCCGUGGAAUGCAAGUGUAUGAUUUGUUUUGGUUGUAGUAUCUGGUAAGAAGCCCUGGAAAGCUGAUCCCUUCUUAAUACCUCAAAUGAGGUUCAUUGAGUGCGAACAAAGCACUCAUAUCUGUUCUACACUCCAAAUAGAAGAGGCAACAAAUGAAGGAUAUGUAUGUAGUGCAUGGACCUGAAUUCGAUGUAAAGUUUCUUCCGAAGUAUGAUUCAAUGAGUAGAGUUCAAGGUUCCGAUCUCCCAUCAUUUUCUUAUUUAUCCUCGUAUGGAUGGAUGACUUGGAGAAGUGAGUUGGAUUCAACUUCCCUCUCUUGCUUGGAAACACGAGAAGGAAUCAACAAAGAAGAAAGGAGCUUCACUACCAACACCCGCUCACCGGUAAUUUUCUGAUAUCCCUAACUAGUAGUGAAAUGAAACGACAACAAGGGAUAUCCUCACCGUGUCAACUGUUACGGGUGAUCGAUCGCUUGAUGUCUAAGAAUAACUUCAAGAGGCUCAAGUCAUCACGAAGUAGAAAAGACAGAAUUGGAGGACUAUGCUUCUCUGACACAGAGUACCACACCAGACUCUGUUUUUGGACAAUCUUCAUGGAGGUAGUUUGAAGGUGGAGUUGGCAAAACAGAGUCUUUGAUGGUAGCAUUUGUCAUAUACGUCUACUUUGCCCAUACUCUAAAGCUAACAUGGACCAACAUUCCUGUUAUGGUCAUCUCUUUUUCAUCUCUCUUGUAUAUAUGGCCAUCUAUCUCUCUCUCAUGGCACACCACCAUAUGUUCUCCAACUAUUCCAGCCAUCGAGCGUAAUACCUGCCUCUCUCUCUCUCUCUCUCUCUCUGUAUUAUCUCAUCGGGAUGGGUUCCUUCCCAUGUCCGUCGUCUGUUCUCGUCGAGGCCUUGGUUGUCUCAUCCAUCGUGUUGCUUGCGCUUCCAGCUGAUGUUGUACAAGCCCAGCAAAAUGGCAUAGUUAGACACUACAAGUUUGACGUAUGCUCUUUAGCAACUGCAGUCUUCUGCUUGCAUAAAUUGGACUGGCUAUGAGGUCCAGUGUUGCUGAAACAUUGAGAAUUCGAUCUGCAGAUACAAAUGGCAGAUGUGACUCGCCUGUGCUAUACAAAGAGCAUCAUCACCGUCAACGGGCAGUACCCGGGGCCUACGAUCUUCGCCAGAGAUGGCGACCGGGUCAUCGUCGAUGUGGUGAACCAUGUUCGAGACAAUGUCACCAUUCAUUGGUAUGGGAGUCUUACUCUUGUUAUUGCAGACGUACAGAGAACAGCCUAUCACCUGAUAGAUACUACACACAACUGAGGACAAUCUUUUGAGCACAGGCAUGGAGUCCGGCAACUGCGCAGCGGCUGGGCGGACGGGCCGGCGUACGUGACCCAGUGCCCGAUCCAGAGCGGACAAAGCUACGUUUACAACUUCACCAUCGUGGGACAGAGAGGCACUCUGUUCUGGCACGCCCACAUCUCAUGGCUUAGAACGACCCUCCAUGGCGCCAUCAUCAUCCUCCCCGAGCUCGGUGUUCCCUAUCCAUUCAUCGAACCCUAUAAAGAAGUCCCUGUCAUCUUUGGUACUCACAUCAGCCUCCUGUUGCUGCUGUGUUCAUUUGUCUUGGCUUCACUUUGCUAUCUAUACGCUUGCUUUGCAGGGGAGUGGUGGAAGGCUGAUACAGAGGUUGUCAUUAGUCAGGCACUUGAGAAUGGUGGAGAGCCAAAUAUUUCGGAUGCCUUCACCAUCAACGGACUCCCUGGUCCUCUCUACAACUGUUCGGUUAAAGGUACAAAGAAAACCCCUGCAAAUGGAGGAAUAUAUGUAGUUCGUUUGUGUGAUAAUAUCUAAAUGUUUUGAUCAUGGUGCAACUGCAGAUACAUUCAAACUCAUGGUGAGUCCAGGAAAGUCGUACCUCCUUCGCUUGAUCAACGCUGCACUCAACGAUGAGCUUUUCUUCAGCAUCGCCAACCACACCGUCACCGUUGUCGAGGUCGAUGCCGGCUACGUCAAGCCCUUCGAAGCCGACACCAUCCUCAUAUCGCCGGGCCAGACGAUGAACGUUCUGCUCGACGCCAAACCUAAUUACCCCAAUGCCAUUUUCUCCAUGAGUGCCAGGCCCUACUCUACUGGAUCCGGCGCCUUCGACAACACCACCGUCGCCGCCAUCCUCAAGUACCGCAACCCCAGCAAUUCGUCCUCUGCUGGUUUUAGCAAGGAGCUCGCCCUCUAUAUACCAGUCCUUCCGGCGUUUAACGACACAUCCUUCGCUGCAAACUUCACCGGCAAGUUACGUAGUCUGGCGACGGCUCAAUAUCCGGCCAACGUACCGCAGACCGUCGACCGACGCUUCUUCUUCACCGUCGGGCUCGGUACGGACCCGUGCCCGACAAACCAGACGUGCCAGGGACCAAACGGCACCAAGUUCUCUUCCACCGUCAACAACAUCUCCUUCACAGAACCAACGACGGCUCUCCUCCAGGCGCACUUCUUCGGGCAGUCGGAGGGCGUGUACACGCCGGACUUCCCCGCCUUCCCACUCAUGCCGUUCGACUACACCGGAACUCCGCCGAACAACACGAACGUGAGCCAUGGGACCAAGCUGUUGGUGCUUCCCUUCAACACCAGCGUCGAGUUGGUGAUGCAGGACACCAGCAUUCUGGGGACGGAGAGCCACCCGCUGCACCUUCAUGGCUACAACUUCUUCGUGGUAGGGGAAGGGUUCGGCAACUUCGAUCCGGCGAGCGACCCGGCCGAGUUCAACCUGGUGGAUCCGGUGGAGAGGAACACCGUCGGGGUGCCGGACGGCGGCUGGGUGGCCAUUAGAUUCUUGGCGGACAACCCAGGUUAGUAUGUAGAUAUACCGCGUGCAUUGCGUGCAUUAGAUUCAAACUGUUGAAAUCUGCAUCAUUUGCAGGCGUGUGGUUCAUGCACUGUCACAUCGAGAUCCACUUGAGUUGGGGUUUGACGAUGGCGUGGCUGGUCUUGGACGGAGCACUUCCCAACCAGAAGUUGCCACCUCCGCCUUCGGAUCUCCCGAAAUGCUAGACUUUGAUGAUGCGGGUUCUAAUUAUCCGAUUGUUGCUUGGGUUCUUUUUGUUGUCUUAUUAAUUUGCUUCACACAGCCAUCGAGAGAGACUAUAUUAAGGUUUUUGUUGGCAGAAAAAGACCCGAAUUGACCAUGUCCAAUUAUUAUUAUAUUAUAUCUCACGAUGAUCUCAUCUGUCACGCAGCGUUAGAUCGCUGAUCACAGCGAUAAUUAUUUUUCUUUUAGAAGCUUUUUUGUUCCUAUCGAUUUAACAUUUCUUUAAUUUCUAAAUAAAAAAUCUAAAGUAAAAUUGGUUUAAUUGUCUUUUUAUAAUCAUAAAAUCUGAGAUAAUUCUUUAGUCAAAUUCCAACAUCCAAACAAGCGAUCUCCACCGCCCAACUUAAAGAAUAAACGCAUGACAAGUCUUUUUCUUACUUGUUUCUUUCUUUCUCGAAUCCAUGUGAAGUGCAUCUGUCGAUCUGUGGUCUCAAAACAAAAUCUGCGUUGUGAUUCUGCUGAACCCUACAUUGUCUCAAAAUGUUGGUGAUCGGAUGAUGAAUUUUCUCGAAAUAAUUAAUAAAUAUAAAAAGGAGCAAACAUUUUUCUUUAUAGAAAUUAUAGGCAAAGAUGAACAUUCUGUAUACAUAUUAUGGACAAGAAGCGAUCGAUCCGUACGUGUCAUACGGUGUUGCUUUGGUGAAUUUGACAUCGUUCACCCAUCCUUUGAUUGUUUAAGAUUCAGACUGUGGCGGAAAUGGAGCCCUAAAUCAAUGUCAGAUGGAUUGGUAGGUGGGGAAAUUGAUGCAGAAUAGUAGGAGGGACAAGGCGUUGGGAAGAAGUGGUAAUGAUGAUAUGAUGAGACAGCAGAACCAGUACUGCAUGGCUCCCUGAUGAGCAAGGGCACAACAUCUUGCAGCAGUCCUUGCGGAUACUGCACAGCAUCCCUCGGACGCAUGUUUUGUUUCCCUGCGCCAGGGUUCAGUGUAGCUUCUUCCUCGAGUCCUCGAUCGGGAGAUCCUGGACUGCUCUCGCCACUGGUCACGGCCACCACCUCCUCCCUCAGUUCGCCUUGAAUACUUUGGCUCUUGUAAUCUUUGUGCAGCUGCUCCUCGCCCUGCAGCUUGGGUUUCUUGGGCACCUGAAGCUUCGUAGCAGUAUGAUCCUGGGGACGACGCCGGAGGACGUGAAAGUGGGGAUAGUGAAGAUGGAGGCCUUCGUAGGUUAUGGUGAGCAUGUUUGGAUCUUCUUUCGACCUCUCUACUUGCCUUUUCGCACUGCACCGAGGGUUGGUGCACCUAUAGUAACUCCUGCUCGACAAACCAAAGAAAGAAGCUUCACACAAACUAAGACAGAACGAUGACACGAGCGCCAGAAAAUAGAUCGACUGUAUUUGAUUCUGAUUGUUCAUUUGUUGGUGCUUGUCUCAUGCUAGUGAGACAAACAUGUUCUAACUCUAUACCUGAGGACUGGUAACAGCGAUUGGAACCGAGUCGCGGGUGAUACGCGUAUCAUAAUUUGGUAAGCGUACAGUAUUCACCGAGGGAAGAAAGUACUUGUGUUCAUGCCGUAUGUAUACGUAGUACAAAUAUGUUUGUGGGAACAUGUUGUUAAUCUUUGAUCUGAAUGAAAUAGGCAUUGGUGGCAAGAGAAAGAACCUUGGGUUUGGGUUGUUCUUUAUAGUUUUCUGGCCAUAUUUCCUCCACUUAUAGCCAUCCUCUGCUACUCCACCUCCACAGCUCUUGAUCAUCACCGCGUACUUGGUGUCCGAUUUGCCAAUGCCUUUCUCUGGUACUGGAGCUCUGCAAGCACGCACGGGGACUUCCGGAAUGAUGAGCGAGCGUCAAAGAUACAAUAGAAUCACGUUGUAGAAGAAAUGAUAUUAGCUCACUUACCUAUAACGAUGUGAAGUAGCGCGGACGUCAGGAACCUUGGUAGAUAGAGCUCUCUCGAUGUCUUCAAUGGUCGGACCGGAAUAAGCCGACGAGAUGAGCGUGUUUGGUACGUGCCGCAGACUACCAGCUGUUCCACCAUCUGCAGCCUUGGAUGAGACGAAGGGAGGUGAUGCUUCAGCCGAAAGCUCUCCGAGAAGCUCCUUCUCUGAUUCAUCAUGCCAAUAGAUCUCUGGUUCUUUUACUUGUGCCAUCGGAACCAGUUCACCUUGAUUUGUGGGUUCUGCAAUCGCCAAGGAGAACGGAGAGAGAGAGAGAGAGAGAGAGAGAGAGAGAGAGAGAGCCGCUGUCGGUAAGCAGCUUAAACUUGGCUUUUAAUGACCCAAUUUAAAGUGUUGUGAAUCUCUUUGGUGAAAGGUAUUCCAGACGCUGGACUGUGGCAUUAACUGAAGUAAUGAUCAACAACGGAGUAGAAAAAUGAAUAGCCCAGCGAUCAUCUCAUGCAUGCAUCUUCUCUUUAAUUAAAACCUCAAGCAAGCAACGUAUGACCUACAUCCGAAGACUCCUCCCUCGAAGACCACCGAGUACACGUGAUCUUAUCCCUCCCCCCUCUCCUCCCGCUGUUGCAUGUUGUGGAUGCCUCCCAGCUAUCCAUUCUUCUCCUCUAAAUCAGAGUCCAAGAAACGCAGCUCACGUUUCAACAAACUCACUGUGGCUGCAUCAGCAACGACCCACGCUUGCUGGACUAGCAUUUACUCUUGUACUUACUGUACUGUAGAUACACGGUCCCGUGGUUCGUUGUCUCUUGACAAGUCCCAUCCUCAUCGCUCCAUAUGAUAGUUCAAAGCGACCAGCGGCACCUGGUUCUGCCAGUUUGUACACGACACGAAGAUGAUAAGUCCGAAUCCUCGACUGUCAUUGCCAUCACAAGAAGAUAUGAUGCUGCAUCCCAAUGCCCGGCUGCAUGCAUCCUGGAGUUGAAAUGAUGCACACAGUCCGUGACGAGAGACGUCAGACAAGACUCUUGUACAUGAUAAUGGAUUGGAUCGCAACUUUGUGCCGAAGGAUACCCCUACCAUCUGACGGUGUCAGUGUCACACCGCUAUUCGUGAGCAGCUUAUUUGAGAGUUGAUGGAAGAAAUAAAUACUCCUGUUGCACCCAACCCAAACAGAACACAGGGUGCUAUUAGCGGCCGCCCUUUGGACUUAGCUGGAGAAUACAUAAAUGCAUGCAUCUUAUUGAUUGAAUAUUUGCGAAUUGAAAGCCUGGGGACACCAAGCAAUAAUGCUGUGCGCGAGUUGGCGCAACAGUUCCUAUCAAACAAGAUACAUGGCAGGAAGAUAUAAUAACAUCAUUACUUUGCAUGAUUUUUAGAAUAUCAUAUUUAUGCCACGAUAUCACUGAUGUAAUGCACGCAAACUAUUCGAUAAGAUCGAUUAUUCCAAGAGAUACCCACAUAAAUGGGCCUUCGUAAUUGAUUUGUUUUAUGUAAUGAGCUUUUUGGUCUUCUUCUUAGUUGACGAGGAUAGUAAUUACGAUAAGACUCGGCUGACGUCAACCGACGCAUCACGCCUCAAUCGACGUGAUUGCACUCGGUCAACCGAACCGGAACACCGGCUGAGGCGCAUUAACGCCUACUCAGACGCGGUUCUUCACGCCAUGCCAGCGCCCAUGUCAGACGCUAUCAGCCUGCCUCCUGCAGGCGGGCAUAGCAGUAAGCUUCCCUAUAAAUACCCUCUCGUUCAUCAGAAAGGGGAGGGGGGGACCGACACAAAAACCUUUCUUCAUCUGAAAUCCUCACUCCACAUCACUAACUUGAUCGUCGGAGGGGUCGAGCUGAGCUUCCGACCCGACCUGUGUGCAGGUACGAGGAAGAAGCGCUCUCAUCGGGCGCACAGGCAAAGAGCCCCUUCUCGGAGGAAACCGUCGAGUCCCGCCUGUCCCGAGGAGCCCUUCCCCCGGGAGAUUCCCCGUCAUCCAGACCUGAACCGAGCCACGUCGGCCCCGUGGCCACGGCUUAAAAUUGUUUACACUAACAUUAGUUUUAUUGUCCUUUUUCAUUGGGAUUUUUAAGGCCGUUGGAUCGAAGACGGCCGGAACAUAGCUUUCCUUUCCCAUCCAUGGCGACGUUCGUCCUCCCCACUCGCUCGGUCCGCUCGGGUUUAUGUCAGCGUCGACAUCGUACCGGUACGUCUAUAUAACGGGCGUUACAGAACUCGUGCGACACACUUUAUAACCCGGGAGAAGAGUCCGACGGCGUCCCCCACACGACACCACCGACGGAGCGUGACUGCAGGUUUGCAGCGGGCCCAACACCAAAACUACAGCGACGCCCUUAUCUCGUGGGCCCGCUAAACGUGUCUUUGUUCACCACCACAAACGACGCCUCGAAACGCGGACACCGUGGGAUUUCGUCGUAUUUUUAUUUCUCAUUAAGAGACUACUCUUUCACGGUCGUAAUAAGUCUGACGUAUCUUCCUCGAAUCAAAUGGAAGGUAUGGCGUGUGGUAUGAAACAAAUGAAGCAUGGAUAUUCGGUUUAGUUCUCGCUUUUGGUGCAGACCCAAUUCCCGCCAAAUUUGAAACGCGUUUGCCAACUCCACCGCCUUACCUUGGCUUCCACCGCACACCACUCUUCUUCUCCUCCCUAUAUACUCUCGGUCUCAUUGGAUUUGGAUCCCAACACAACAAUGGGAGCGGGAAGGAUGGAGAUGCAAAAGAUAAAGAUUGGGCGGCCUGGCGAGGAGGAGGAGGUGGCGGUGGGCGGAUGGGAGACGCCGAAGAGGGCGGAGUUCCGGAUCCCGGCUGCGGUCCGCUGCCCCGCGCCGCCUAAGAAGAAGUCCCCCUCCGUGGCGUUUGGCAAGAGGGGGGAUCCGCCCAAGAACGGCUACUUCCACCCGCCCGACCUCGAGGCCCUCUUCGCCCUGUUUUCGAGGAGGGAGGCUUGUGCGUGAAUUCGGCGUAUAUGGCGGGUUAUUGUAGAUAACAGAUGCUAUAAGGUAUGGUUAGGAUUCUUGAUAUAUGUAGUGCUUGGAACCUUUUGCUGCAACGAUGGUAGUGAUUUUUUGUAGGCUUAUUCAUUGUCUGCGGCCCCGUUAAUGUAGUUGGUAUCAUAAUGAUAAAUGAAUUGGUGUUUACUUGUUUUUCUGGAAUGGGGGAAGAAAAUAUUGGGGUUUUGAUGUUCUUGGAAUUAUGCAGUCUUUGCUUUGUGCUGGUUCAAGUUGUGUUGUAGUUGUAGUGCAUCGACAUCGAGAUGACAAGCACAAGGAACUUUUACUUGAUUUUGCUUGAGACUGUUGCAGAUCGGACGAGAAGGAUGUUUAUUCGAUGAUACUUGUUAAUUAGUUGUCGUGAAAGCAAGAAUAAGAAUAAGAAAGCAUUCGGUGUUCUAAUGUCUGCAGACAAAGAAGUCAUGCAGUGGUCCUCUGAAGAUUCUUCAUUUGGUGGAACAUUCAACUAAUCAUCAUUGUAGUGUUUUCGUAGAAGGAUUUUUCUCUUGGCGAAUGGAGAAAGCUCGAGAUAAAGAAUCCUAAACGACAUCGGUUGUAGAUAUCUAUGGGAGGCAUAAAAUUCAGCAUAUGUGGCAUAGUAUUGUAUUAAUAUGAGGGCCACAUGCGUUUGGCCUUCUUCCGGUCUGAAGACCUCAUUGAUGAUGAACUGAAAGAAACAAGGAUUAAAUAGUUCAUCUUUCUUGUUUCAUUCUUCCAAGGCCUUUGGUCCACUGCUUUCGGCGUAUAAAGAUCACAUGGAGUCAUGUGGAGUUCAUUUCUCCGGGCAUCCCUAGCGGCGCCAUGUCUCGGCACCUCACAUGCCUUGCAGAAGCUUUCUGCUGCCCUAACGAGGCUAAAGGAUGAAGAAACAAGUGCAUCCUGUGAUGAGUCUUCUUCCUCCGCCUUUCAUUUCUGCUGGAAAGCCAAGGACAAAUGAGCUUCGAUGAAUAGGUCUUUCCAUUUCAAAUUGGAGAGUCAGAACUGAGGCCUAAACGGACGCAUCUGAAUCAAAUCACGGAUGCUCCUGCACGAGGUUGGUCGAUUAGGGUUGGUAUGGGUCUGCGGACAUCCCAAAUCUUUGACAGGUUCGUCCUGCAUAUGCCCUGUGGGUGUCAUUUUGCUGCGAUAACUAAGAAACUGAGGCUAUCCCAUGAACAUGGCAGACAAAUGGGCCCAUAGAUUGAUUACCACCAUGCAAUGCACGCAGGCAAAUCAGAGUGUUAGCACUCCGUUUCCCUUAAAUACAUGCAUGCUAGUACUGCUUUUAAGCAGAACCAUUGGGUUCAACAACAAGACCAAGUUUUCAAGUAAUAAAAUAGUUGGAUUUAGUGAGAUAAAGUUGGUCUUCAAAUCUCAUUUUAUUUUCCAUGGCUCGGCAUUAUGAUUAUGAUGGUCUGGUCUGAGACAAAGGAGGACAUGCAUGCACAACUUUGGUUCAUGAAUCUUCACCUAUCCCGGCAUUAAUGACUUGCACAGAAUAACCCCUUCAUAUUUUUUUACCGUGAGAAAUUAAGAUGAAAAGCCAUCGACAUGAGAACGUCUGGUGGAAGUUUCAAUUCAGUGAUGUGUGAUGAAUGUGCUGAGUCCGGAAGAAGAAGGGAAGGAUCGACGAGGCGUCGGAACUCGAGAGGGGAGCCGACCAAGAUUCGCUGGUGGAGUAGAUAUAGCAUUUGACGAGGCAAAGGCGACCCCGUAGGUGGCCUCCGGAACAGAUUCUCGUGCAACAAGAUUAGAUCUCACGUCUGAGAACCUCCACCCAUAUGAACGAGAAAAGUGGGCGGAGAGACGUGAAGAACCCAACUUCUUCCUCUUAUCUUCUUCUUCCUGUAUAAAUCAGCGUCGGAGGUUUCCUCAUGGAUUCAUUCUGUCAAUUGCAUAAACCCACUCUCUUGUUUUGUUCUUUCUUCUCGGUUGGAUCGUCGCUCUUUAGCUAGUACUUCUUCCAUCUGUACGAGAACCGAGUCUGAGAGGGAGAGGUCGCGGAGUAGAGGAACCAGAAAACAAAGGUUUGCUUCGGCCGUGGAGCCGCCGAGCAUGGACGAGAAGUGGAAGCUGUCCAAGAAGGGGAGCAGGCGAGAAGGUGGCCCCUCGUGGAAGGGUUCCGGGAGCGUUCAGGAGGGGAGGAGGAGGAGGAGGACCAGCAGCAGCAUGGCGACGGCGACGCGGUCACCGUUCGCGAGCCGGUGCGCGAGGCUGGUGAAGGAGCAGAGGGCGAGGUUCUACAUCAUAAGCCGCUGCGUCACCAUGCUCGUCUGCUGGAGAGACUACCCUUGAAUUAAGAGGACCUACAGCAUGUACCGCCGCCUCCUCUUGUGGUUGCAUUUGGGUUUCCUUCCUCUGUUGGAGACGGCCUUCUCAGCCGUCCGGUGAGGAAGGGAAGGGUUGGGCAUAGGAUGAUACAGACAUAGAAGCAAAGAAAUUAAUAUGAAGAAUACGAUGGAUUAUCAUUUUUUUUUCCUAUGGCUAUUGAGUAUCGAGUGAUCUGAUCUAUCAAGACUCAUUCGAGGAAGAAAAAUUGACCGAAAAAGAAGUCUUUGAUCUGGAUAAGGCCUUUUCUCUUGGAGGUAUUUAAUAUUUGUAGCAAUCAAAAGAAUGAUAAUAGAUGGAAGGAUUGUCUUUUCAUUGUAUAUGCUCAUAUCCGUGUAUAUGAGACAGCCUUAACAAUGAAUCCAGAAGAUAAUUCUAAAUUUAGUGAGGAGAAUAAUAACCCAUUAUACAUUGUGCUUAUUAGCAAAAUAUAAAAUUGUAUCAGUCAGUUAAUAAUUAUUUAUGCACUGAUAAUAUUAUUUUCACAAUGCUUAUUUUCAAUUUUAUGAAGAUUUUCUAAAGCAUUUAGCAUUCUAUUAUGAUUUUUUUUAAUCUUUUUAUAAAUCGAUAAUGGAAUGUUAAUUUGUUAGAUUCUUUGUUUGGCCCAAUUUUAUGUGUUCAAAUUUAUGAUACUAAAUCAAAGCAAGAGUUGCAACCACAAUUCUUUCUUUCUUUCUUUCUGGUCUUAUGUAAUCCCUGUAACUGAGAAACCACUGCUUGUUAAGAUUAUUAACAAGCAUUAGUGCAUUAUAUUUGACAGCGGCAUUGGCACCAGUUUUGUCUUCUGGAAAUUGCAAUUCCACCCGUUCUCUGCAAAGAAGUGAGAAGCAUGAAGAAGACAAGUGACUCGGUGAAUCUUUGGACUCUGAGCCAACAUCUGUGUCGGUAUCAUACUCUCGUGUCUCCCUACCGAGGAAGGCGACGGAAUCGUCUCUCUGCUACUUCACUUUCGGUCACAGAUGUGACAAAUCGCUCCUCCACUCCGAGCGCGUUGAUUGAUGUCCGAUAGCUAAAACCGCGUCGAGAACUCAGGCCGAGUACAUGAAUCCAUGUGAAGGGAGAUGGAGCACAUCCCCAUCCGCGCCGCUGCCAAUCUCCUCCUCCUUCUAUCGUAAUUUCUGAUCCCAUACAUGUUCAUAAGAUGGAGACGAUCUUGAAAUCGAAGCUUACAGAAGACGAGUUCGGAUCCAAACCAAUACGAGAAGCAUAACAAUACUCGGUCGCUUCGAGUCUUCAUCAGCUCUAUUCCCCACCUAAUGGCGCGUGUAUCUCAGAGGAGAGCCUGAAAGGCCGAUGGCGACGGCGAAGUGGACGGGAACGGAAUUGGUGGGAAUCGCAUAGGACGGUAACUCUUUUUCCAAAGUUUUCCAUGCUGUUUGGGCAAAGAAUAAACCUUUUGCAAAAGAGUAGGGAAUAUAUAAUUGGUUGCUAAGAGAGAGAGAGAGAGAGAGAGAGUUUUUCUUCCUUGGACGAAGGGUUAAAGAUCUUUGUUCAUUUCAUUAGGUGUGAAAUGAUACAUGAAAAAGAUUCAGAAUGAAGAACACUAGUAAAAAGAAAGAGAGAAAAUGGAGGAAAGAGAGCCACAGAAUCCUGAGUUUAGAUUCACAGUAUAUAUACAUAUAUAUCAACAGGUGGAGUGAAACGAUGUGCUCCAAACGUCAGAAGCGACAGCUUAUCCAACGAUAAGUUUUUUAAAGGGGAAAAAAAGGGGGAGAGACAAAAAAGGAAAGGAACACUAAGACUACAGGUCAAAAGAUUGGCGGAAGGUCCCCAAAAAGGCCGUCGAUGCGGCGCUUAUCUUUCACAGCACCAGACCGAGUCUUUGGCUAGCCAGGUCGCAGCGCACGGGAGCGAACCCGACGCGGCCCUUCUCCAGGUCGUACUCCACCCACAGGUUCUGCUGGUGGUGGUGCCCGAUCACGUACGCCGCCAUGGGCACCAAGUCCGAGUUCCCGAAGGUGAAGCACCACACCUCGUCCCGCCCCCGCCGCUCCCCAGCUACCCGGUACAGCAGCCGCUCCUCCGUCACCGCCACCUCCGCUCCACUGAACAUCAGUACCACCGCCGGCAACCCCUUCGGCGGCGCGCCGGAACCGGUUGGUAACCGGAAGCACAGGUCGAACGCCCCCUGGAAGACGAAGUCCGGUUCGUUCAGCACCGGCAGGACCCCCUUUGUCUGCCUUUGGAACUCUUGCUUCAGCGCGCUGUAGGCGUCGCCGAGGAGGAAGGUGAACUGCGUCCCCGAGUCGACCAUGGUCUGCCCCGCGCCGGUGUGGUCCGGGACGAGCGCCGACUUGGGGAUGGGGAGGAGCGUGCGGCCCACGCGGAUGCCCUCCAGUUGGACGGAGUAUGCAACCCGGUCGAAGUAAGGAAGGGGGAGAGCGAUUUGGACGAAGGGGGUGUAUUUGAGGGGGAGGAAGGACAGGGUGUCGUGGCCGAGGAGGAGGACGCCGGCGGCGUCGCGGUCGGAGAUGCAGUAGGAGAAGCGGCGGGUGGCGGUCUGGGAGACGAAGGAGAGGGCGCCCCUGUUCAUGCCGAGCAUGCCGGCGGCGUAGAGGUCACCGGUGGCGGAGGAGUAGGCUGACGUCAUGCAGCCAAAGACGGUGCGCAGGGGAGAUGACUCGCCGACGCGGAGGAGGUCGGAGGCGAGGGUGCCCUCCGAGGAGGAAGCGUCGGCGUAGGUGAGGGCGACGUGGCAGAGGCGAGUGGACUCCUCGCAGGUGGCCGGGAUGGGAAGGUCGCGCGUCCGGUCACGACACGUCGGGGAGGAGCAGGGAACGGGGGAGUAGGUGGAGGAGGCGCGAGGACGGAAGGACGGAAAUGCGGCGGUGGAGCCGCCGCAAAGGAGCCACGACAGCUCGCUGCCGGUGUCGAGCACCAGGGAGAGGUUCUGCGGCGGGCUCCCCACGGAGAGGGAGACGGUAAGGCUGACGUUGUGGUGGAACCGGAGCUUGUUGGGUGACAUCGGAAGGCUGGAAGUCGACAUCUUCUGGGUUCGCAGCGGAAGAAGAAGCGGCUUUGCCUUGGAAUCAGGAGCCAUAGUCCGUGCCGCCAUCACAAAACAGAGCAAGUUCAGGUUUUGAAACAUGAGAAGACACAAAAACAGGGGAAUAGAAGCAGAAACAGGGGAGGCCAUAGUGUAGCUUCUUUCUUCGUGCGAAACAGAGCAGUCUGGGAUCGAGGCAGAGACGGGGCUCUUUAAAUAGCAAAAGAAGGCAAGAGGAGGAGGAGCGAGCUCGCUCGGGGAAGGUGAGUUUUGGGAGGGUGGGGUUUGGAGACGCUCGCUAAGAGCGGAGUGGUUUCGAAUCCCUUUCUGCGAUAACACUGACAAGGCAUUCGUCGUUGUCGUUUCUCGUUUGCCUUGUAUAAAGAAAUAGAAGCCUCACCUCGUCAUCAUCCAUUCGAGGAGUCCACUUGCGAUUCCUGAAGAGGAAAUCGGAGUGACGAACUAACAAUCUCGACGCAUCGUUACGGCACAUUUCGCUCGAACGCAACAAUGGUGUGUCAUUGUAGCUCCAGCGACGUCUACCAUUGGCUUUGUUGGCUCAGAGAAAACUGGCGCCUGUUCCAAUUAAGUCAUCCGCCAUCGGCCAAAGGAGGAGGACGAUGUCAAAAGACGUGUCACAUUUGCGUUCCCACCGCGUGGUCCACCGCCCGUACGGGGACUCCACUCGUGAUGCUACACUCACUGACCUCCUCUUAGAUACAACAGUACAGCGCUCGCUGCAUGGCAAUCACCAGUUAAUAAGUUAACACAGCUGUUCCAUGCACGGCCUCUCUCUAUCUCUCGCUGUGUCCAGUAUAGAUGAUACUGGGUCUUACGAAGCUAGCUGUCUCUCAUUAUUUCUGGGAAUUGAACUGAAAUCACCACUGACACAUUUCCCAACCCCACCAAACCCCAUCGCCGAAUACAAAAUAAAGAAUCAAACCAAGUGCUCAUACAAAAAGGAAGGAUCACAUAUACUAUUAUUGGCUUUAUGAUGGUGUUGAUGAAACCCUUCAUUUUGUCGGCUAUGGUUCUAGAAUUUAUGCAGACGAGCUACAGCACAGCAGCUUCAAGUACGUCCUACCUUGGAACAUGAUGACGAUGUCACCAUAUUGACAGCAGUAAGAACCUUUUCAGAGCACCACAAAACGACGACAGUAAUGCUUGGCCCGCUCGGGGGAACAACCGUUUGGGUUUUCCAUGGAGCAGGUCUUGGGAUCAUUGAAUGGGGACUGUCGAGGUGAUCUAUCGUCGAUCCUGGAGAAUCCCACGAGCUUCAUCAGCGAUGAGGACAGAUUAGAGACCAGCCUCCGAUGGAGUGGGCACCGCAAGAGCUCAUCUUUCAAUGAGAGAGAGGCGAAGACGACAACAUAGGAGACCUCACCGUGGACCUAUGUUGAAAUUUCAAUGGCUUGUGUGCUCCUGCAAGGAUAAGCUUUGGCCCGUCAACUCUUGCACUGCUGCUGUGUUGGCCUUGUCCGGCUAAAUAAUUUAGUGUUCAGUGUGCACUUCAAGUCAAACUGACUCCGGAAAGAUACUUUUAGUUUUUUUCUCUUCUUUUUUUUAUGAUUGUUCAGAGUGUUCCUUUUUCUUUUCUUUGAAUGUUUAUGAUUUUGGAUUACGAAGAAAGUUUUCCUAUAUACUUCUCUCAAAUUAACAUGAUUUAUACCAUCAUCAUGUCAGCAAUUAUUUCCAUUUGACGUGGUAUUCACAUCAUUGAUAAUAUUCCGUUUGGAUAAUAACAAUGUUGGCAACCGUACACCAAUGAGUGCCAUCCACAACGUUGUCUUGCGUGAUUUUUAUGCCGUCAUCAUGUCAGCAUCGAGUACCAUUCUGAUGGUGAUGCGAUAGCAUAUACCAAUGGUGUGGGAUGCCAUUGCCGACUGCCUCCUUACAUAUUGCCACCACGUCAAGAUCAGGUGACUGGUAUGCUGGUAGCCAUUAAACCACAGUCUCAUGCCACGUUUUUAUUCGAUACAAAUGCGACCAAGAAAUUAAAAGUCUCCCAUCAUGUACUGUGAACACAGUGCAUCAAUCAUUGUACUGCAAUGACUUGAGAAAUAUCAAGAGUUAGUCCGAAUGAUUCAAAAUCCAAAUGCCUCGGUGAAUAUGUUGGAGCGACUAGUGCAUGAUUGGAAGAUGAGAUCGUGGAGAUAGUCCAAGAAAACACAUACAUUCGAUGAACAGGUAAUUGGAUAGGGAUUAUUAUGAUGCUGUGGUUGAACAUCAACUUCGUGGAGUAUGGGCUGGCAGUGAGCCGUCCACUUCGACAUUGAUGGGGCUGAUUAAUCACGUCAUCUUUCACUAACGAUGGCAAUGCAUCCGGUGAUCACAACCUAUCGAGUCUAAUCUGGUGAUUCAUAUUGCAGGGCCGUAUGAUUUGCUUAGGUGAGAAGGCGACCAUUAGUUGCCAUGAUUGAAGAGAGAGGAAGGCGUGGAGGCUCAAACGCACGCGGCUUCCCAAACUCUCUUGCUCCAAUCAUUCAUUCAUUACCUGUUGCUGUUACUAUGAGGAUAUGUUUGGAGAUUUCUGCGGUAAUGUUGUAGUAGAAUACGUAAAUAGUUUCUUUGUUUUGUUGAUUCAAAGGGACGAAAUUAUAUGCACUUUCUUAUUCGAGUGUCACUCCACCGGAAGGCAGUGGUCCGGUGACUACUGAUUCGGAUUCUUAUGUCUGGUCUCUCGGAUAUCUUCGGAUAGGAUUCAGCUGGCUACGCAUACCGAGAGUGUGGAUCCUAUACAUGCUGAUGACCUCACUUGUGGUAUCCAUAGGUAAUGUUAGUCUCCAUAUGGUUGCCUCACCUAAGAUGUCUCUGUUACGGACGUGGGUGAAGUGGUGGAACGAACGAUAACUUUAGAGAGAGCAAGCAUAUCCAACGCAGGCAAUGGUACGCACAGUCAUACAAAGACCUGAUGAUAUAAUGAUUCAUAUAAUGACAUACAUGUUACAAAUUUUCUUUUUCGUCAAAAUUAGAUGGACAUUUUCAGGUUUUUAUUUUGUUCCAAGGAAUAUGUUAUUUUUAUCAUUCAAAUUUGAUUCAAAGACAAUUGAAAUGUAUAUAUCGGUAUGUAUAAGAGUCCAUCAUAACAUCUACCCCAAAGAUACACGACAUGGCAAGCAGCAGAAACGUCGGGAAACCCUCACGUAGUCCAGCGCAGAAACCGAAGCACCUCCUUCGCUCGCUCCACCAAUGGCGAGGCCAAAUCGAAGUUGACAGUCCCGUCGUUGCCGGCGAGCAUCCGGUACUUGUCCUUCCUCGUGUAGUUGGUGCAUUCGAAGCCAAGCGAGGCCGCCAGGAUCCUCUGCACGUAGUUGGCAACGUCAUGCGGGCUCUUCCCGGCAGAGCACGUCGCCUCCCACGGCAGCUGGUUGAGGAACGUGACCUCGUAGAUUGGCCGGGGGUUCAUGAAGAAGAAGAUGGGGUCCAUCGCCUUCCACCCCCUCGCCGUGGUCGCGUGGAAGAAGCCGACGCGAUAGUUCAUGGCCACCGGCACGAUCCGGUCCGUCAGCUCGGCGAAGAGGGCGCUGAACCGCAGCAGAAAGGGCUCCCUGCAUGUGGUGCCCUCGGGGCACACCACCAGGUCGCCUUUGGCAAGCUCGCUCCUGAUGCGCUCCGCGUCCACCUGCCGGUCCCUGCUCAACCGGACGGUGCGGAUCGGUGACAGGAUCUCCGACAGCCAGGAUAUGGAGUACGUGACGGCCGGGACCUUGCGACCGAGGACCGUCGACAGGACCACCGGAUCCAUGAGGGUGCGGUGGGUGCACACGAAGAGGACGCCGGUGGUAGAGCCGGAGACGGGUGGCGGCGGCCGGCCUCUCACGAUGAGCGCUCCGCCGAACGGGCGUGCGAUGUAAGGGAUGACCCAUAUGGGGACGGUCAGACCCACCGCGAUGCGGACGAAGGCGAGCACUAUACCAAAUGGUAUCCACAAAAUGGUGAGGAGUGCUGUGAAUGGCGUGGGACGGCGCACGAGGCGGCCAUCAUGGAAGAUCACCGGCGGCGGUCGUCUUUGUUCUUCCUCGUUGUGCACCGGGUCAGCGGAGACUGGCAUGCGAUGUAGUUCCUGCUCACGUACCAAAUGUUGUUAUUUGCUCUGUUUAAGGAUAGCUAUCUACUCUGUUUAUACUUGAAGAAGUGUAGUUAACAUCUGUUUACCUCCCUACUUACGUCGUCAACAAGUUACAGCGGUUUUGUACUCAAAUAUAAUUCUCAUGGUCUCUACAGAGGGUUUGAUCUCAAAAAUAAAAAUUUUCUAUCAAACUAUUGCGAAGCAACAAUGUUUUUGGACUUAUAUGAUCUUAGGAGAAUCCUGCUCUUAGAAAGAUAAGAAUUUUAGAUCAGAAUCAUGUGAAUCGUUCCGAUACAUCCGCAAAAUGAACUGUUCCAACUUACCUUGCACAGAAAUGAGAAUGACUGUGCCGAGGCCGAUGUGCACAAACCUACAUCAGCCUUCUCCUUCCCACAGACGGCCAUCACCUGCUCGGCCAAGGACUUCUCUACUUUCUUGAGGAACCCGGUGGCGUACCCGGAUCGACUGACCUCGAGCUCACAUCCCACUACCUCGACGGCACCGAGGUGGUCCUUCGCGAACCUCUCCACCAUCACCGUCGGGCACCGCGUCACCACCGCCCGCCGCUCGAACGCGCUGAACGCGUUCCACGCCGCCACGUCCACGUCCUCCACGUAGAACUUGGGCAGCACGGCCCUCGCCACCGCCUCGAUCUCCGACUCCUGCACUCCCGCGACGGCCACGAAGACCAUGAGCCUGAGCCCGAGCUGGCCGAGGCGGAACAGGUCGAGCAGGCGGAGCAGGGGCCACAGGAGCAGCAGCACCACGAAUCGGACCAAGCCCGACGUCUCGAACGCGACGAGCAUGAAGUAAGGGAAGGGGUCGACGUCUUUAAGAAGCGUACCCUCGAGCUCCGACACGAUGGAGCCGGAUGCCGGCCGGCCCGAGCGGCGAUCCUCCAUGCUCGUUCGACUCCUCUACGACGUGAAUGUAUUGUCGGAGUUCGCCAAUAGGAUUAAAGGAAUGAGGUGUUGAGGGAAGCUUUUGGCAACAGUAGAUGGAGGCGUGAGAAAGAUAAUAAGGCAUGAAAAGGUGGCGUGGGUUAGACCGGCAGCGGAACUUAGGGAAGGAAUCGGGCAGUUAAACUGUCCUCAACUACCAAUGGAAGUCUUGAGUGGGAUGGUGGAUUUAUAGACCUAAUUCGCAACAAACGACAUCUACCUGUAUCUUCUACUCUACCAUUUGGCCAUUUCUUUAUCUUCGUCUGCUUUCUUCCCUAAGCUGAUGCCUGACGUUGACCCAAUCGUUUCUAAUCUCGCUCAUGACUUCACAAAAACUUGCACUUGAGAGGACAUGCAAUGCAUGGGUGGAGUUGUGGCAAUUUAGAGACAGAAGGAUAAUUUUAUCGUCUUAGGUGGUUUGGAUAAAUUUUUUAGCUUGUGAGAUUGUCUUUGUUUUCGUUUCAUUUUAUUUUUCUUUUGGUCGAACGAAUGUGACUGUCGUAGUUUUUAGAUGAGAAGAGAUCUGCUUCAAUGAAGAUGAAGUUAAGAUACUUAUCUUGAGCAAAAGCAAGAAAGUAGAACCCAUGUUGAAGUAGAAAGUAGACAUAUGGAUCUUAUUUUGAACUAAAGAUAUCAACGUGAGAUACAUCUAACGAUGACAUGUACAUCGACGAUGGAAUUUGACCAUUUCUAUCAUGCUUCCUGAAGCUACAUCUACAAGGGGGCAAUAGUAUAACAUCUUAAUAAGUGUUCGACGAAGUGAACAUAUUUAGACUGCUCGUUUCUGUUGUAUCCAACUCUUACUUCGUUCAACUUCAUUUCACAAUUUAAUUUGGAGUCAAUCGAUGAGUGAAUGCAGGGCUGUUAAUGCAUCAGAUAAAGCCGAAAUCUUGAUGAACUCGACGUAGUAAUCGAGUCAAUUUGUUCAUCCGAUUCAUAAUCAGAUCGGACAAGAUUCCAGGUGGAUCUAAUUUGACGACUAUCUGGUCAAUUCCUUCUCUAUUAUUAUAUUCAAUAUUGGGGUUUUAGCUCGUCGAAAUGGACGGUUAAAGAGGAUCUUUAUUUCCGAAUUGGUUCACCUAAUAAUUUGGGUCAGCACGAAUCUAAACGAACGUAGGCAAAUCUUGGAUGUCGGCAGGCCGCCUUUGUAGAUUUGUCCAAAGCAUCCGAUGCCGAGUAGAUUCUGUAGGUACAGAUGGUUGUAGGAGAACCUAUGAGGUCCGUAUUCCACCUCCCAAUCUUAGUUUCUUCCUUCUUCUCAGGAUGAAAAGAACAAUGGUUAUGUUGAUUAACAAGAGGAUGAUUACUGCAGCUCCGUCCUAGAAAUCAAAGCAAGAUUUGGUAGCUUAGAGAGAUGGAUCGACGAUACCUUUUCUUCUGUUCCAUUUUACCCCAUACCUUUCAAAAAUUAAAGCGAUAUUUGGGAAUUGUCUGCAUGCCAAUCACAACAAAUCAAAUACAGGUAGCCUUAAACUAGACCUUCUCCCUCUUCCCUCCUCUCUCGGAUGAUGAGGGAAACCCCAUCGCCCCCUGCUCUCUUCCCUCCUCUUCGGGUUGCUUCCCCUACGCAUCCCUUCGGUUCCGGCUGUGGUUUCAUCGUUGAUCCCUCCUGCCGCUCGAGGAAAGGCUCCAGCCGCUGGCACCCUUUCAUGGUCGCAGGUACUCUCUUCCUCGUUGGGACGAAAUUCCAAUGGUCUGCUGGGUGAUGCAUCAUUGGAUAAAAUCAAACUCUCGUCGGCGGACUCGGUGGUUUUCGAUGAGGAGCACUUGCGAUCGUGGCGAGCACCAUGGAAACAUUGUCUGGUGGGUAGGUUCCUGCGACGACCACCACCGCUCGAUGGUGCCGGGAGAGACUCUUUUAACUUGAUUUCUUCGAGGCCUGAAUUCUAGCCCUUUUGGAGAGCAACUUUGGCACCUCUGGAGAUAAUUCUAGUUUAAAUUAUUUGCAUUGUGGAAAUAAGAAAAUUGGCUUAACGAGGGAGAUCUUAAGAGCUUUCAUUGUGAUUGCUUUAUGGCUCAUUUGGAGGGCUAUGAAUGAUGCUAAAUUUUCGAAUAAAAAUCUCACACUUAAUAAUAUUGUAGACACUGCUAUAGCUUUCUUGUGGGAUUAUGUUGAUAACAAAGAUUUUGAGAUGUAGGAGAGAAUGUCCUUAUGAGUUCAAUAGAAUCCACCAAUACCGAUGACUCGGGCAUAGGUUUUCUCAUUACGGAUAGUAAUGCUAUUCUUUAAUUUAUAGGUUACAAAUAUACUACUUGGAGGUUGAUAGUUUUCAAUAAAGCAAUUGCUUUCAAAGAAGUUUCAUAUGUUGCUAGUAGCCAUUGGGUGAGAGUUAGAUUCAGUAGGCAUUGUGCAACAUAUCAACCAUCCUUUGGAGCUACCAUAGCAUUCAAGGAAUGUUAUUGAGAAUAUUUUAGAUUUUCAAAGUAUAUAUGAGGAGGAGUUUAAGCGAUACAUAUAUUUAGGGAGAGAAAUCACUUAGUAAAUUGGCUAGCAAAUUAUUUUUGGAGGGAGGACUUCCCUCCUGAUCUCAUCUGAUUGCUGCUUUGAUUACCUCAUAUGGUUUUCACUUUCUUUAAAAAAAGAAAAAAAAAUAAUAAAAGUGGAGUCUUUAUUUCUUGAGGCUUACCAAAUCAUAAGAAUAAAAGCCGUUUAUGGAUUUAAAAGAGUCACAUAGGUAUGUUUACAACACAGCGACUGCUGCUACUGCUAUUCCACCCCAUGCAUAGACAAAGAAGGCCUCGUCUCCGAUAUGUUUCCAUCAAUCACAAAAACCACACACUCAGACGGGGUACAAGCAGCUCCCAUCGUCGCUCCUGGCCGUCGGAUCAAAGUUUGUGGCAAUCGGAUCAGUGCACCCUUCUGGAACUGGGACGCCCACCUGUUGAGCUGCUUUCCCUGCAUACGGGUAGUAAGCUUAACGCAUCAGCUAUGGCCGCAAAGCACCAUAUCUUUUGUACGUAAGAGACAGGAUGACAUAGAGAGUGCGAACCGUAGAACUGUCCCGUGUUAAUGGCGUCCUCAUUGGCGUCUCCCAGCGCGGCCUCGCUCAGGUACUUGUCGGCCAGCUGCACCCUCUUCACGUUCUCUUGCUCCUUCACCAGCAUGUUACCGUACUCCAUUAGCUUGGCGAGGCUCAUCUUGGGCUGGUCGAACGUCGGCGGUCCUUCCAGUGAGUUGACUAACUUCUUGUUCACGCUUUCAACCCCGAUCUCUGCAACCCAUUUCCUCACCUCAUCAUCAUACACCCUGGCUCGGACGGCGCCAAAGAAGUCUGCAUUACAUAAGCAACAUCAGCUAAGUUCGAUGCUAAAGAUCGAGUCUGAUGAACGCCCAGCUUCAUUUUCAUUUUGGGUUUCGGGAAGCUUACCGAUGGACUGGCCGGGGAACGAAUCGACGAGCUUGACAAUGUCCUCCUUGGCGACAUUGUCGGUCCUAAAUAUUCCGGCGCAGACGCCGAUGCGGUCCUCUCUGGUUGGCGCCCAGUAGAACUUCUCCAUACGACCAUCACGAAUGAGCGGAGCAUAGAGGGUGGAGAAGUCGUUUCCGGUGACGAUGAUGGGAACGCGGGGGUUCUCCUGCUUGUUGUACAUUCCCGGGAGCUGCACGUUGGUUGGGUUAUCGGCGAUGUUCAUGAGGGUGGCGUUCACCAUCUGGUUGUUGACCGUGUACUGGGUAGUGCCGCCGAGCCGCCCAGCUCCGGCGUCGAGAUCGUUGAUGAAGAGGCAGCACAUCUUCCCCUUCUUGAUGAUUUCGGCUGCCUCCCGGUACCUUUGCCUGAUCAAUUUUGCAGGCUCUCCUGCAUUCCCACUUUCCAGUUCUCCGGCACUCAUCAUUAUAGGGCUGCAAACAGGACGGUUAAAUCGAUCAUGAGCCUCCGAGGAAUUCACAAUGGCUUCAAACUAGCUACCAAGAAUCUAAUCAUACGACACAAGUGUUUGAUCCUUCUACAAGGUGGGGAAACACAGAAAUUGACUCAGAUAUCAGAUCAGGGUGUUCAUAGAAUCAGAGUGCCUCACAUGAAUAUGUUCAAAAUGUGUACUGAUUCAUUACAGGUGCAACAAUUGAAAUUGUAAAAAUGAAUGAUCGAUUGCUUAGAAUCCAAUCUUUCUCAUGCUGACAGAUUUAUAAUUAAUCGCAGGCAUUGUCUUCACAUCUUUAAGGGCAAAUGCCAAAAGGGAGAAAAGAUGAUGGACAACGAUGAUUUUACAAAGUCAGGUCGGAUGUCAUGGAACUCAGAUUAAAAUACAAGAGGACAUAUUGAUGGUGAAACUUCCAUGCAGAGAAACAGCAUACAAGUAUGAAUCUUGUCAAUGGCACCAUAUCAAGCAUAGGUUAGCAGUUGCAGAACAGAGACACAGCGGCAGCUAAGUUGUUAAUUUACUUAAAUAUGUAAAUUAAGGGUCUUUUAACACUACAGUGAUGAAAUUUACUUGUUAGCAAACUCUCUGUUCUAUGGGUUUGUAUGAACAAUUUGUUCUGGUUCAAAGGAACAAAAACUGAGUCGUAAAGAUUAUAGUGUCAAAGAUUCAUUGGUAGUAGCAUGUGUGGAUCGUAUAAUGAUGGAUCAGAGGUAUGUGGAAAAAGUUGUGAUAUCUCAAUUCUCUAAGAUUUGCAGUAUGUUCAAUGCUUACAGGAUUGAAGAACAAAGAAAUAUCUGCUUCUUUAAGCAGUUCAUCAUGCUCAAAUCAAUGAUUCAACCACAUGAUACGAGCUUACUUGAUUCCCAUCUUGGCGAACACGAGCUCACACUGGAAGGAUUUCCCCUGCCCUUUGCCUCCCCAGAUACCCAAAAUCAAUGGAACCUGUCAACAAAUCUUCGCAGUGAGAUUCACAUCGAACAUGUAUCAGUGCACCACCAACGAGAACAAUGAUCACCUUGAUGUUGGGCAAGUUCAUGAAGUUCUUGGAGAUGUGAACAACAAGUUUGUCCAUGAAAGCGGGAGCGAUGUAGAAUCCAUCCAUGGUGUUGUCGAGGUUGUACCUAACAUCACAACAGUAGUCAAGGCCCUGUCUCUACGAAGCAGACACAGAGAAAUGCCAUGGAGCUGCAUAGAGAAGAGGUUGUUGCAGUUGUCUUACUGACGGAGGCCCUGGCUGAUGUAUUCGUAGGAGCUCAAGACGGCCUCAUGAGUCCCAUCGCCCGUGGGUGCUUGGAAGAGGGAAUCGGCCAGCCCCUUCCCUCUGGUGAUGUCCUGCUGAUCAUCCGAUACAUCGUAAGCGAGCCCCGCCCACCGGUCUUUCUCGGUCUGCUUCGACUCAUCGAG
rnacentral:lncRNA from 1 species